UAAUACGUAUGGUGCAAGCGUUAUCCGGAUUUACUGGGUGUAAAGGGAGCGUAGACGGAGUGGCAAGUCUGAUGUGAAAACCCGGGGCUCAACCCCGGGACUGCAUUGGAAACUGUCAAUCUAGAGUACCGGAGAGGUAAGCGGAAUUCCUAGUGUAGCGGUGAAAUGCGUAGAUAUUAGGAGGAACACCAGUGGCGAAGGCGGCUUACUGGACGGUAACUGACGUUGAGGCUCGAAAGCGUGGGGAGCAAACAGGAUUAGAUACCCUGGUAGUCCACGCCGUAAACGAUGACUACUAGGUGUCGGGCAGCAAAGCUGUUCGGUGCCGCAGCAAACGCAAUAAGUAGUCCACCUGGGGAGUACGUUCGCAAGAAUG
rnacentral:rRNA from 1 species